rnacentral:rRNA from 1 species
CCUACGGGAUACAGCAGUAGGGAAUAUUGCUCAAUGGGGGAAACCCUGAAGCAGCAACGCCGCGUGGAGGAUGAAGGUUUUCGGAUUGUAAACUCCUUUUGUUAGAGAAGAUAAUGACGGUAUCUAACGAAUAAGCACCGGCUAACUCCGUGCCAGCAGCCGCGGUAAUACGGAGGGUGCAAGCGUUACUCGGAAUCACUGGGCGGAAAGAGCGCGUAGGCGGGAUAACAAGUCAGAUGUGAAAUCCUAUGGCUUAACCAUAGAACUGCAUUUGAAACUGUUAUUCUAGAGUAUGGGAGAGGUAGGUGGAAUUCUUGGUGUAGGGGUAAAAUCCGUAGAGAUCAAGAGGAAUACUCAUUGCGAAGGCGACCUGCUAGAACAUAACUGACGCUGAUGCGCGAAAGCGUGGGGAGCAAACAGGAUUAGAUACCCUUGUAGUC